GCGGCGUGCUUAACACAUGCAAGUCGAACGAAGUGGCGAACGGGUGAGUAACACGUGAGUAACUGCCCUUGACUCUGGGAUAACCUCCGGAAACGGAAGCUAAUACCGGAUAAGGACGGACUCGCGGCCUAUCAGGUAGUUGGUGAGGUAACGGCUCACCAAGCCUACGGCGGGUAGCCGGCCUGAGAGGGGACCGGCCACACUGGGCUGAGACACGGCCCAGACUCCUACGGGAGGCAGCAGUGGGGAAUAUUGCACAAUGGGCGCAAGCCUGAUGCAGCAACGCCGCGUGAGGGAUGACGGCCUUCGGGUUGUAAACCUCUUUUAGUAGGGAAGCGGUACCUGCAGAAAAAGCACCGGCUAACUACGUGCCAGCAGCCGCGGUAAUACGUAGGGUGCGAGCGUUGUCCGGAAUUAUUGGGCGUAAAGAGCUCGUAGGCGGUCUGUCGCGUCUGCUGUGAAAACCCGAGGCUCAACCUCGGGCCUGCAGUGGGUACGGGCAGACUAGAGUGCGGUAGGGGAGAAUGGAAUUCCUGGUGUAGCGGUGGAAUGCGCAGAUAUC
rnacentral:rRNA from 1 species